GAUAUUACAGAAGCUCCACUUAUCAAGAUAUUUAUAUGUAACACACUGGACUUUUACAAAUUGUAAGGUUCGAGUAUUUGAUCUGUGAUUUGAGUUUUUUCAAAUAUUCUGUAGGGUCGUAGACUGUAAUAUACCGAAAAUUUGAAAAAUAAAUAUCGAACUUUAGUCAAAUUGACCAAAGUGCGAGGAUGGUACACUUCGGAAAGUCCGAAGGUGUUAAAAUGAGUAAAAGUGCGUUAUGGGAGGUUUUCGAGAGCUAAAAAAUCAAAAAUCUGUAAAUUGCAGUUUUUGAGAUCUCGGGGACCGGUCCCUGGUGGGAGAGACCGGUCCCCGAACGCGUGAGAAAUGAGAAAGACCGAAAAUCGG
rnacentral:lncRNA from 1 species